AGAAUCAACGCUGGCGGCGUGCCUAACACAUGCAAGUCGAACGAGAAAGUGGAGCAAUCCAUGAGUAAAGUGGCGACCGGGUGAGUAACACGUGACUAACCUACCUUCGAGUGGGGGAUAACCUCGGGAAACCGGGGCUAAUACCGCAUAAUGCCUUCGGGUUAAAGGAGCAAUUCGCUUGAAGAGGGGGUCGCGGCUGAUUAGCUAGUUGGCGGGGUAACGCCCACCAAGGCGAUGAUCGGUAGCCGGCCUGAGAGGGCGCACGGCCACACUGGAACUGAAACACGGUCCAGACUCCUACGGGAGGCAGCAGUGGGGAAUUUUGCGCAAUGGGGGAAACCCUGACGCAGCAACGCCGCGUGGAGGAUGAAGUCCCUUGGGACGUAAACUCCUUUCGACCGGGACGAUAAUGACGGUACCGGUGGAAGAAGCCCCGGCUAACUUCGCGCCAGCAGCCGC
rnacentral:rRNA from 1 species